rnacentral:rRNA from 2 species
UGCUGUGAACUCGAAGAGUAGGGCGGGACACGUGGUAUCCUGUCUGAAUAUGGGGGGACCAUCCUCCAAGGCUAAAUACUCCUGACUGACCGAUAGUGAACCAGUACCGUGAGGGAAAGGCGAAAAGAACCCCGGCGAGGGGAGUGAAAAAGAACCUGAAACCGUGUACGUACAAGCAGUGGGAGCCUCUUUAUGGGGUGACUGCGUACCUUUUGUAUAAUGGGUCAGCGACUUAUAUUCUGUAGCAAGGUUAACCGUAUAGGGGAGCCGAAGGGAAACCGAGUCUUAACUGGGCGUUAAGUUGCAGGGUAUAGACCCGAAACCCGGUGAUCUAGCCAUGGGCAGGUUGAAGGUUGGGUAACACUAACUGGAGGACCGAACCGACUAAUGUUGAAAAAUUAGCGGAUGACCUGUGGCUGGGGGUGAAAGGCCAAUCAAACCGGGAGAUAGCUGGUUCUCCCCGAAAGCUAUUUAGGUAGCGCCUCGUGAACUCAUCUUCGGGGGUAGAGCACUGUUUCGGCUAGGGGGCCAUCCCGGCUUACCAACCCGAUGCAAACUACGAAUACCGAAGAAUGUUAUCACGGGAGACACACGGCGGGUGCUAACGUCCGUCGUGAAGAGGGAAACAACCCAGACCGCCAGCUAAGGUCCCAAAGUCAUGGUUAAGUGGGAAACGAUGUGGGAAGGCACAGACAGCCAGGAUGUUGGCUUAGAAGCAGCCAUCAUUUAAAGAAAGCGUAAUAGCUCACUGGUCGAGUCGGCCUGCGCGGAAGAUGUAACGGGGCUAAACCAUGCACCGAAGCUGCGGCAGCGACGCUUAUGCGUUGUUGGGUAGGGGAGCGUUCUGUAAGCCGUUGAAGGUGUGCUGUGAGGCAUGCUGGAGGUAUCAGAAGUGCGAAUGCUGACAUAAGUAACGAUAAAGCGGGUGAAAAGCCCGCUCGCCGGAAGACCAAGGGUUCCUGUCCAACGUUAAUCGGGGCAGGGUGAGUCGACCCCUAAGGCGAGGCCGAAAGGCGUAGUCGAUGGGAAACAGGUUAAUAUUCCUGUACUUGGUGUUACUGCGAAGGGGGGACGGAGAAGGCUAUGUCAGCCGGGCGACGGUUGUCCCGGUUUAAGCAUGUAGGCGGAGGUUCCAGGUAAAUCCGGUACCUUAUUAACGCUGAGGUGUGAUGACGAGGCACUACGGUGCUGAAGUGAUAAAUGCCCUGCUUCCAGGAAAAGCCUCUAAGCAUCAGGUAACACGAAAUCGUACCCCAAACCGACACAGGUGGUCAGGUAGAGAAUACCAAGGCGCUUGAGAGAACUCGGGUGAAGGAACUAGGCAAAAUGGUGCCGUAACUUCGGGAGAAGGCACGCUGAUAUGUAGGUGAAGUCCCUGCGGACGGAGCUGAAAUCAGUCGAAGAUACCAGCUGGCUGCAACUGUUUAUUAAAAACACAGCACUGUGCAAACACGAAAGUGGACGUAUACGGUGUGACGCCUGCCCGGUGCCGGAAGGUUAAUUGAUGGGGUUAGCGGCAACGCGAAGCUCUUGAUCGAAGCCCCGGUAAACGGCGGCCGUAACUAUAACGGUCCUAAGGUAGCGAAAUUCCUUGUCGGGUAAGUUCCGACCUGCACGAAUGGCGUAAUGAUGGCCAGGCUGUCUCCACCCGAGACUCAGUGAAAUUGAACUCGCUGUGAAGAUGCAGUGUACCCGCGGCAAGACGGAAAGACCCCGUGAACCUUUACUAUAGCUUGACACUGAACACUGGUCCUUGAUGUGUAGGAUAGGUGGGAGGCUUUGAAGCGUGGACGCCAGUCUGCGUGGAGCCAACCUUGAAAUACCACCCUUUAAUGGCUGGUGUUCUAACGUAGACCCGUAAUCCGGGUUGCGGACAGUGUCUGGUGGGUAGUUUGACUGGGGCGGUCUCCUCCCAAAGAGUAACGGAGGAGCACGAAGGUUGGCUAAUCCUGGUCGGACAUCAGGAGGUUAGUGCAAUGGCAUAAGCCAGCUUGACUGCGAGCGUGACGGCGCGAGCAGGUGCGAAAGCAGGUCAUAGUGAUCCGGUGGUUCUGAAUGGAAGGGCCAUCGCUCAACGGAUAAAAGGUACUCCGGGGAUAACAGGCUGAUACCGCCCAAGAGUUCAUAUCGACGGCGGUGUUUGGCACCUCGAUGUCGGCUCAUCACAUCCUGGGGCUGAAGUAGGUCCCAAGGGUAUGGCUGUUCGCCAUUUAAAGUGGUACGCGAGCUGGGUUUAGAACGUCGUGAGACAGUUCGGUCCCUAUCUGCCGUGGGCGCUGGAGAAUUGAGGGGGGCUGCUCCUAGUACGAGAGGACCGGAGUGGACGCAUCACUGGUGUUCGGGUUGUCAUGCCAAUGGCACUGCCCGGUAGCUAAAUGCGGAAGAGAUAAGUGCUGAAAGCAUCUAAGCACGAAACUUGCCCCGAGAUGAGUUCUCCCUGAGACCUUGAGUCUCCUGAAGGAACGUUGAAGACGACGACGUUGAUAGGUCGGGUGUGUAAGCGCAGCGAUGCGUUGAGCUAACCGAUACUAAUGAACCGUGAGGCUUAACCUU